ensembl:snoRNA
CCCACCACUGCACCUGACCAGUUCUUGUUAGCUUGGGCAAUCCAGUGGUGAGCUGAAAGUAGGCCACAGCCUUUAGGAAACAGGGCCGUCCUACAGGUGGAUGAUUCUGUGCCAGAAGCAUGGGAACAAUC